GGGAGGUGUUGAAGGGUGGGGGAGGGAGAGGUCAUCUCUCCCCUCGCCCACUCCACCAUGUGGCAGAUGAGGAGUGAGGCCAGAUCUCCCAGGCAGGUUCGAGGCUCCUGAUCACCUGUGCCCUUCUCAAUGGGGACAGCUCUACUAUGCUGCCUGGGCGAGGUGCAGGGCUUACUCUCCAGAGUGCUGCAUCUGGUGAGGGGUAGGAUCAGCUCUCCCCUACCUGCAGUAGGUGAGGUGGUGAGGUGGAGAGGUGAGGACCAAGCUAACUAAGGAAUGCACACCUAUUUAAAGUUCCAGUGAGGAACGUUGGGUUCCGUUGGUACUGGAAGGAUACGCUUUGGUGCCACUCACCUCCCUGCUUCUCGGAGAGGACCUCAGAGCCCAGAGACCUAAACCUGCCUUACUGGUUUGGCCCUCUAAGAAAAGCUUGCUUUCCUCUAGGCCCCUCACCUUCUGAAACGGCAACUUACAGUGCUCUUACUUCUGUCCUGCUAAUCCAAGGAAAACAAAAACAUCAACUUGGCGCAGUGAGAUGGUAUAGCACGUAAAGGUGCAUGCAACAGAUUCCCGAUGGAUCGGAACUCUCGACGUCAUCUACUUGGUAAAAGAAAAUAGAGGUUCAACUUCAACCCAUCUUUGUGAGCAGAGAGGGUUGCAUGUCUGUGAGACAAGCCUUACUGUCCAGAGGAAUCUAACAAAGGCCUGGACAUCCUACAAGUUUGGUUUUAAAGACAAGAUGGGUAUAUAACAAGUUCCAUGAAACCUCCAAGAUUUCUAAACACAGGAGCUCCAAACUGAGGAAAUGUAUGUCUAAAACUGGGGCCAGUGUGGGCCUGAGGUGGACUGUGGAGCUGGGCAGCGACCACGUGUAUCAUUCACAUCCUUUCUGAAGACUAUCAGUCCUUGUUGUCAGGAUGACUGGCAGGACCUGACAGUUGGCCUGGCUGACUGUCACCUGUCACCUGUGACCAACCCAAAGGAGGACCUUGGAAUCAAACUCCCAGAGGGGAACUGAGAACCACGACAGUGCCUUGAGCUGUGUCUGAAAGCAGCACACAUUUCACACAGAGGAGCUGGGGGCAGGGAGGGUUCGGAAUUCUGCUGACGCUGCGCAUGUGCGCUCUAAACGUUCACAGCGUUCUAGUCGCGGGGAGCGCAGUAAACACGACGUGUGCAUGAGAGACAAGAUACAGUCCCUCAUUUAUGAAGAGACAUGCAGCAGAAUGAAAACCAGUGGGUCCACAAGCUUCCAAGGCCACUAGCUUCCAAGAAUCAAUAAACUGGUGUUACGGGAACAAAA